rnacentral:misc_RNA from 1 species
GUGUGAGUUAGAAUUUUGCCACAAUAACUUACCCAUAUAUGCAUACUAAAAUGAAUUGAUAUAAUUUUUAAAUCGUAGAAAAGGAUAUGUAAAAUUAAAUUCUAUAUUUGAUUCCAUCAUCGCAUGAAAUUCAAAUGAAAUGUUGAAAAUGAAAUGAAUUUUCAUCAUACCUUUUUAAUGGCGGUUCCAUAUAAUUUAAGCACUCGCUUUCUUUGAGUUUCACAUUCAAAAUCAUCAAGUACAUCCUCAGCAUCAUAGAGAGCAUCUUUAAGCUUAAUCAGCCACCCUCGCAGCUGAUGAUUAUCCACUU